rnacentral:lncRNA from 1 species
CGCGGGGGACGGAGGGCAUGUCCUUCGGAGAGAAGGUGCAGGCGGGCCCGGGCCGAAGGUGGGGGGGGUGUUGCGGGUGGCUGGGUGGCUUGGUCGCUGGGGGCGGUGCCAGGGAAUUGCUAGGGGCUGGGGCGGGCCUGGGGCGGCUGGGGCGGGGCCUGGGGCGGGGCGAGGAGGGCCCGCAGGCAGGCCCGGCCCCCGGCCCCCGGCCCCCAACCACCCCCCCUCGGCCCCACGGAGGGCCUCGCAGGCCUGCGAGGACGGGAUCCAGCCCCCACCCGUCUCCCCCCAGCGACCGCACCGCCCCCCCGCGCCCCAGCCCCGAGGUUCCGGCUGUCGCCCCGUCCCCUCCCUGGGCCGCUUCGGGCCCCCUCGGCCCCCUCGGCCCCCUGGGACGCGCGGCCGGCUAGGAUGCGGGUGGGCGUCGUUGAAGGGCUGGGAGGAAGAGGAGGUGUGUGGUGUAUGUAGUGGCGUCCUGCCCGUGCAGCGGGCGCCCUCGGUGCCCCGCGGCGCCCUGCGGUGGUCCCGGCGGGGCGGGGGCCAUGGCAGGGGUGGUCCGGAGGGCGCCGCCGCCGCCGCCGCGUUGGGCGAGGGGGGUGUUGGCGGCAAAGGGACGGACAGGAAGGCCGAAGAAAAAAAGCCUACAGCACCCGGUAUUCCCAGGCGGUCUCCCAUCCAAGUACUAACCAGGCCCGACCCUGCUUAGCUUCCGAGAUCAGACGAGAUCGGGCGCGUUCAGGGUGGUAUGGCCGUAGACGUCCGCGGCUGCCGCUGGGCGCCCCAAGAGCCUGCUCUGCGCCUCUCCAGGCCAGGCGCCCGCCGCUCCUCAGCCCUCCUCCGCCCGCCCUGUGCGGCCCGCCUGAACGCCUGCCUGCCUGCCUGCCUGCAUGCUCGCCUGCCGGCCCGACUGAUGGACUGACCGCCUCCCGCGCCGCGCCCGGGGUGGCGGAGGGCGCCUGCCCGGGCCGGGGGGUGGGGGCCAAGACGCGUCCCGCACCCCGGAGCCGAGUCUGUCGCGGGAGCCCGGGCGCGCUCCCGUCCCCGGCCUGUCGGGCUCGUCGCCGCCGCUCGGCUCCCCGGAUGGCACGCCGCCCCGCAUCGGGCCGCUCGCUGGGGGCUGGGGGCUGCGGGGGGGUGGGGGGGUGUGCCGCGGGCCGGGGCCGGCGCCGGCCGGCCCCUGGCCUCUCCUGUCCUUCAGCCCGCCUGGCUCAAAGCCAAGCCGGGGCCGCCCGCGCCGCCGGACCCCAUCGUCGCACAGGCAGGGACACAGACACAGGUGCCCACGACACACACACACACAGACAGACGGAAGGACACAGGCACUCGGAGCUGGGC